rnacentral:rRNA from 1 species
GACGUAGGGCGCGAGCGUUGUCCGGAUUUAUUGGGCGUAAAGAGCUCGUAGGCGGCUUGUCGCGUCGUCCGUGAAAACUUGGGGCUCAACCCCAAGCUUGCGGUCGAUACGGGCAGACUGGAGUACUGCAGGGGAGACUGGAAUUCCUGGUGUAGCGGUGGAAUGCGCAGAUAUCUGAAGGAACACCAGUGGCGAAAGCGGCUUCCUGGUCCAGUACCGACGUUCAGGCACGAAAGCGUGGGGAGCAAACAGG